CAGCAGCCGCGGUAAUACGUAGGGUGCAAGCGUUAAUCGGAAUUACUGGGCGUAAAGCGUGCGCAGGCGGUUUUGUAAGACAGAGGUGAAAUCCCCGGGCUCAACCUGGGAACUGCCUUUGUGACUGCAAGGCUAGAGUACGGCAGAGGGGGAUGGAAUUCCGCGUGUAGCAGUGAAAUGCGUAGAUAUGCGGAGGAACACCGAUGGCGAAGGCAAUCCCCUGGGCCUGUACUGACGCUCAUGCACGAAAGCGUGGGGAGCAAACAGGAUUAGAUACCCGAGUAGUUCCUGUCUCUUAUAC
rnacentral:rRNA from 1 species